GACGAACGCUGGCGGCGUGCUUAACACAUGCAAGUCGAACGAAGAGGCCCAGCUUGUGGGGUGUGCUCGAGUGGCAAAGGUGAGUGACACACGAGAAAACCGUCCCCUACACUGGGGUAAAAGUUGAAGAAAGUGGGUAUAAUACGGUAUAUCACCUCACCCCACGGGGUGGGGGUGGGAAGAUUUCGGCGGUUGGGGAUGGACUCGCGGCUUAUCAGCUUGUUGGUGGGGUAGUGGCUUACCAAGGCUUUGACGGGUAGCCGGCCUGAGAGGGUGACCGGCCACACUGGGACUGAGAUACGGCCCAGACUCCUACGGGAGGCAGCAGUGGGGAAUAUUGCACAAUGGGCGGAAGCCUGAUGCAGCAACGCCGCGUGCGGGAUGACGGCCUUCGGGUUGUAAACCGCUUUCGCCUGUGAAGAAGCGAGAGUGACGGUAAUUGGAGAAGAAGCACCGGCUAACUACGUG
rnacentral:rRNA from 1 species